rnacentral:rRNA from 1 species
AGAUCGAACUAAAGAGUUUGAUCCUGGCUCAGAUUGAACGCUGGCGGCAUGCCUUACACAUGCAAGUCGAACGGCAGCACGGGGGCAACCCUGGUGGCGAGUGGCGAACGGGUGAGUAAUGCAUCGGAACGUACCUGGUAGUGGGGGAUAGCUCGGCGAAAGCCGGAUUAAUACCGCAUACGCACUACGGUGGAAAGCGGGGGACCGAAAGGCCUCGCGCUAUCGGAGCGGCCGAUGUCGGAUUAGCUUGUUGGUGGGGUAAUGGCUCACCAAGGCUACGAUCCGUAACUGGUCUGAGAGGACGACCAGUCACACUGGGACUGAGACACGGCCCAGACUCCUACGGGAGGCAGCAGUG